UGAUAUAUCAAUUUUUUUGCCAGGGUUCUGAGGAAGCCCCCCCAAACCAGGAUCAACCCUUAACUGCUCAGCAAACUGCUAUUGUUAAUUUGACUGGAGUAGGGAACUUUAUCCAACCUCAGACAGCAGUUCUUGCCCCAUCAAAUGGUUAUGGCGUUAGCAGCACAAGCAGCUCUACUACAUCAUCGUCAUCUAGGCACCCAGUCAAAAAGUAAAAAGAAAAAAAAACAGCUUCACUGGUAUCUGAAUCCUGAAACUUGCAUUUGAGAGAGAUGUAUGUAUUCUAUAAGGAUUUUUUUGAAAAAAAUGUUUUCAUGAAACUGAAUUUGUAGCUAUGCCAAGGCAUAGCAAACAACUGGUAUUUGUAAGAAAAUCAUACUGUUUUAAGAUGAAAUUAUUCAUCUGGAAAUAUUGUACAAAUUUCAAGAUGAAAUUAUAUCGUGAAAUAAUGGAACUUCAUAAAUGUAGCAUGUUUAUUGAUGUAAUGAUUUUGUGGGCAAAUAGCAAAUACACCUUUUACUAAUCAUA